GACGAACGCUGGCGGCGUGCUUAACACAUGCAAGUCGAACGAUGAAGCCCAGCUUGCUGGGUGGAUUAGUGGCGAACGGGUGAGUAAUACGUGAGUAACCUGCCUUUAACUCUGGGAUAAGCCUUGGAAACGGGGUCUAAUACCGGAUACGACCAACCCUCGCAUGGGGUGUUGGUGGAAAGGGAUUUUGUACUGGUUUUAGAUGGGCUCACGGCCUAUCAGCUUGUUGGUGAGGUAACGGCUCACCAAGGCGACGACGGGUAGCCGGCCUGAGAGGGUGACCGGCCACACUGGGACUGAGACACGGCCCAGACUCCUACGGGAGGCAGCAGUGGGGAAUAUUGCACAAUGGGCGCAAGCCUGAUGCAGCGACGCCGCGUGAGGGAUGACGGCCUUCGGGUUGUAAACCUCUUUCAGCAGGGGAGAAGCGAAAGUGACGGUACCUGCAGAAGAAGCGCCGGCUAACUACGUGCCAGCAGCCGCGGUAAUACGUAGGGCGCGAGCGUUGUCCGGAAUUAUUGGGCGUAAAGAGCUUGUAGGGCGGUUUGUCGCGUCUGCUGUGAAAGCCCGGGGCUUAACCCCGGGUUUGCAGUGGGUACGGGCAGACUAGAGUGCAGUAGGGGAGACUGGAAUUCCUGGUGUAGCGGUGAAAUGCGCAGAUAUCAGGAGGAACACCAAUGGCGAAGGCAGGUCUCUGGGCUGUAACUGACGCUGAGAAGCGAAAGCAUGGGGAGCGAACAGGAUUAGAUACCCUGGUAGUCCAUGCCGUAAACGUUGGGCACUAGGUGUGGGGAACAUUCCACGUUUUCCGCGCCGUAGCUAACGCAUUAAGUGCCCCGCCUGGGGAGUACGGCCGCAAGGCUAAAACUCAAAGAAAUUGACGGGGGCCCGCACAAGCGGCGGAGCAUGCGGAUUAAUUCGAUGCAACGCGAAGAACCUUACCAAGGCUUGACAUAUACUGGACCGCCUCAGAGAUGGGGUUUCCCUUUUAGGGCUGGUAUACAGGUGGUGCAUGGUUGUCGUCAGCUCGUGUCGUGAGAUGUUGGGUUAAGUCCCGCAACGAGCGCAACCCUCGUUCUAUGUUGCCAGCACGUAAUGGUGGGGACUCAUAGGAGACUGCCGGGGUUAACUCGGAGGAAGGUGGGGAUGACGUCAAAUCAUCAUGCCCCUUAUGUCUUGGGCUUCACGCAUGCUACAAUGGCCGGUACAAAGGGUUGCGAUACUGUGAGGUUGAGCUAAUCCCAAAAAGCCGGUCUCAGUUCGGAUUGGGGUCUGCAACUCGACCCCAUGAAGUCGGAGUCGCUAGUAAUCGCAGAUCAGCAACGCUGCGGUGAAUACGUUCCCGGGCCU
rnacentral:rRNA from 1 species